rnacentral:lncRNA from 1 species
UUCAGGGAAAUCUUCUCGUGAGAAUGAGAGAUGGAGCCUUCUCCCUUACAAGUUGCGUAGAAUCCAAAAAGCAAUUUAGGUUUCUUUGUAAAAACCAGUGUCCUCUUAAGAAAACGAUAGCCUCCCCUUUUUAUAGGGGGGCGCUGGUGAUAGGGGAAUAAGAGAAAGAGAAAGUCGAAAACUAGGGCAAACUCCAGAAUAGGAAGUUUCCUUAACGAUCGGGAACAGUCUAAUGCUUGAUCUCUUCUGGAGCAACCCUUGGGUUGUUCUAAAUGACUGUUCCAUGUUGAAUCCUUCAAAACAGCAUCUGACUUCCUGAAACUCUCUCCUUUACUCUUUCACCUGUUCCCAACCU